rnacentral:rRNA from 1 species
GUGAGGAAUAUUGGUCAAUGGACGAGAGUCUGAACCAGCCAAGUCGCGUGAAGGAAGACGGUUCUAUGAAUUGUAAACUUCUUUUGUGCAGGAAUAAAGUGGGUUACGUGUAACCUUUUGUAUGUACUGUACGAAUAAGGAUCGGCUAACUCCGUGCCAGCAGCCGCGGUAAUACGGAGGAUCCGAGCGUUAUCCGGAUUUAUUGGGUUUAAAGGGUGCGCAGGCGGGUUGAUAAGUCAGCGGUGAAAGUUUGCAGCUUAACUGUAAAAUUGCCGUUGAAACUGUCGAUCUUGAGUGCAAAUGAGGUAAGCGGAAUGUGUUGUGUAGCGGUGAAAUGCUUAGAUAUAACACAGAACUCCGAUUGCGAAGGCAGCUUACUGGGAUGCAACUGACACUGAUGCACGAAAGCGUGGGUAUCAAACAGGAUUAGAUACCCCGGUAGUCC